rnacentral:rRNA from 1 species
AUGUCGGUGUUCCGCCUUAGUGCCUGGACCGCUAACCCCGACGCCAUUCCUCGAGACUCCGAGCUGCUGUUGCCCGAGCCCGGUGCCCUCGCGCCUGAUGAUGACCCCGAUCGCGUCUCCGCUUUCGCUGUCAGCUUGAUCCGGUUCCCUGUCUUCCGCACUGAGGAUUAUUGGCUUCCUGCUAUCCCGCCGCCUCCCCCUCCGCAUUCUCCGGACGGGGAUGAUGGAUCUGCGCCUGGGUCACCGCCACUUCCCCCCUCCUGGCCCCAGAAGUACGUCUUCCCCAGCCGUGGCAAUGGCGCUGAGAGGUCUGACCACCGUUGUGCCGGUGGCGGGCUCGGUGGGCAACGCCGUAGGCGUGCGCCGCCGCCGUUUCGGGGUUGGCAUGGCGUUCUCGGGUCGCACCCCUUUUCCUGUGGGGGCCCACCUGUCCUUCAUGUGCGUCAGCGCAUCUCACCAGUUCCCGACAGCUCGUCUCUGCCUCUGGAUAAAGCUACUGCUGCGGUACCUGUGGACCGCACCACCGAGGACCAGCCGUUGGUUCCCAGCCAUUUGACUGGGUCACCGGGCGCUGGAACCUCGGGCUUGGCUCUCGUGGACUCUGGUGCCUUCCACACGGACCCGGCCUCGGAUCCUGCAUCUCCUAUUCCUGUCCUGCCCUCCCCUGUUGCCUCUCCAGAGGACAGACGCCCUCCCCCCGAUGACGUCUCGACAGCUGUCCACCUCCCUGCGGAUGGCCCAUCUGGGACAGAUCCCGAGGUGGCCCCGCUCUCACCAGUGGCGCCUUGUGAUUGGGCUCCUCCCCCGAACCCGAACCCAACCAUUGCCUUGGCUGUUUCCCCCGACCCCACCGACCCCACCGGCGCGGCGCCACAGGAGUACCGUGUGGCCCUGGCCCUGGUCGUGCACUCCCCCGCCACUUCAUGCGUGCCAUCUGGUGGCGCGCAGUUGGCCCUGGCUGGCCAGGCCAUGCAGGCGCCCCAUGAUCCUGCACCGUCGCUCCUUGGCUCUUUUGUAGAUGCGUUGCAGGCCCCGGUGGCUCCUCUCCUACCCACCCCGACGACCCGAAGACGACGCAAAGAGGUGCCGCCCAACUUCACCCCUAGACGUAGCGGUCGUAUCGCCCUUGCUGACAGGGGGCUGGACUCGGAGAUGAAGGCCAAGCGCGUCCUUCUUCGGCGGCUCGGUCUACUCCAAGACGAUGAGCCUAUCAAUGAUGUCAUCUUGGCUCGAUACUCGGGCGCUGUUCAAGCAGCCCCUUGCGGAUGA